rnacentral:rRNA from 1 species
UACGUAGGGUGCAAGCGUUGUCCGGAAUUUAUUGGGCGUAAAGAGCUCGUAGGCGGUUUGUUGCGUCGGCUGUGAAAUCCCGAGGCUCAACCUCGGGUCUGCAGUCGAUACGAGCAAACUAGAGUGUUGCAGGGGAGACUGGAAUUCCUGGUGUAGCGGUGAAAUGCGCAGAUAUCAGGAGGAACACCGGUGGCGAAGGCGGGUCUCUGGGCAACAACUGACGUGGAGGAGCGAAAGCGUGGGGAGCGAAACAGG